CCAAUUGAUAUUCAAGUACCAAGCUAUUUCCAAGAUGGUUCUCUAGGUUAUCCUCAUAUGCUUCCAUUGAAUCCACAUUUUUAUGGGAAUUGGCAACCGAAAAUGUGGAAUGACAUCAGAAAUAGCAGUGAAUCUGUUGCUGCUGCACAAAAUAAUGAUACUCAGUUUCCUCAAGUGAGUAUACCUAUGUGUUAUGGUCAAGCAUCUUGGAAAUGGGAGGAUGUGAUGUGCAAUAAUAAUGUAAAUCCAUGGUUGAACUAUUUAGCUCCGGCUAUGCAGCCAAUGCCAGCGCCUUUUUUGCAGUAUCCGAUGAUGGUUGGUGUUCUUCCUGAAAUGCUUACUUCUCAAAACAAUGGGAUUACUGAUUUCCUUCAAAUGAAGGAGAAAGAUGCAGGGAAUUAGAUGUGGGAUUUUCUGAAGCUUCUUGGUUUAUUUCCUUUAUGUGUUGUUUUUACUAGGAUUUUAUUGUUCUAACAAGAUUUUUAUAUACUACAUGGUACAUAUCAUUUUGGCUAAAGCAUUAAUUUCGUCUCUUGGUGCGUGUGAGAUGUGCAAUAUUUCAUUUUAGAUUUCAUUUGUUUCCGUAAAAUAACUUGCACGAAAAAUAUUUUUCAUAAUUUUCCAUUGUUUAGAGCAUUCAAGAAAAUAAGUCAACGGAAAAUACUUUACUGGUCAAAGAAAAAUUAAAUCAUUUUUUAAUGAAAACAAUUUUACAUUUUCGAGAGAGUAAAAUAUUUUCCUAAUAUUGACAAACUUUAUAAAUUCAUAUUUUUUUAAUUUAUUAAUCAUCAUAGUCACUACCACGGUCACCAUUUAUCACCGACUACCACCACCGGUGGACACUACCACCGGCCACUGACAGCUUUCAUAAUUUAUAUUUUUUUUACAUUCUUCUCAUAUUUAAUAAUAAAAUUUUUAAAUUAUAAAAUUUUUAUUAUUAAUAAUAUUUUUUAUGGUCUUGUGAGAUAAAGACUUUAGUAUCUUUAACUAAUUUUCAAUAUUAUAAUCAAACAACGGAAAAUAAAUCAUUUGAAAAAUAUUUUUCAAAGAAAAUGUUUUUCAUAAAAAUAUUUUUUAGCAAGUUAUUUUUUUGCAAGUUAUUUUAUAGAAACAAACGGAUCAUUAGUGUAGAAUUUAUCAUUUCGCAUUUUCUAAUCAUAAAGCACAAAAAAAGCAAUCCAACAAGAAUACAGUUAAAUUUAAAAUUAUGUUUAUCCGAAUUAAAAUAUAUCAAUAAUAAUAAUCAACCCACAAAUUUGCAAAUUAAAUACGAUAAUCAAAUAAAUUAAGAUCAAAACUACUAAAACAAGAUGAUAACCAAAUAAAUUGGGUAUUAUUACCUCACUGAUUGGAUAAUCAAAUGCCAAAUAAAAUUCCCUUCUUGUUAGAAUCCGACUUCCUAUCAUUUGACAUUUGAGAAUUCAAAGAAUCUAAACUAACACCAUAUCCAACUCCACCUCCAUACCCAAACCCGAGUCCAA
rnacentral:lncRNA from 1 species